AGAGUUUGAUCCUGGCUCAGAACGUACGCUGGCGGCACGCCUUAUACAUGCAAGUCGAACGAAGUAGCAAUACUUAGUGGCAGACGGGUGAGUAACAUGUGGGUAUCUUCCCUUUGGCCUGGAAUAACACGAGGAAACUUGUGCUAAUACUGGAUAAGUCUUUACGGAGAAAGCUUUAUGCACCAUUGGAUGAGCCCGCACUUGAUUAGUUUGUUGGUGGGGUAAUGGCCUACCAAGACAAUUAUCAAUAGCUGAUUUGAGAGGAUGAUCAGCCACAUUGGAACUGAGACACGGUCCAAACUCCUACGGGAGGCAGCAGUAGGGAAUCUUGCACAAUGGAGGAAACUCUGAUGCAGCGAUGCCGCGUGAGUGAAGAAGGCCCUUGGGUUGUAAAGCUCUUGCCCCGGGGAAGAAAAUGACUGUAACCGAAUAAGAAGGUCCGGCCAACUCCGUGCAAGCAGCGCGGUAAUACGAAGGGACCUAGCGUAGUCGGAAUAACUGGGCCUAAAGAGUUCGUAGGUUGUAAAAAAAGUUGGUGGUGAAAUCCCAGAGCUUAACUCUGGAACUGCCAUCAAAACUUUUUAGCUAGAGUAUGAUAGAGGAAAGCAGAAUUUCUAGUGUAGAGGUGAAAUUCGUAGAUAUUAGAAAGAAUACCAAUUGCGAAGGCAGCUUUCUGGAUCAUUACUGACACUGAGGAACGAAAGCAUGGGUAGCGAAGAGGAUUAGAUACCCUCGUAGUCCAUGCUGUAAACGAUGUGUGUUAGACGUUGGAAAUUUAUUUUCAGUGUCGCAGCGAAAGCAAUAAACACACCGCCUGGGGAGUACGACCGCAAGGUUAAAACUCAAAUGAAUUGACGGGGACCCGCACAAGUAGUGGAGCAUGUGGUUUAAUUCGAAGAUACGCGCAGAACCUUACCAACACUUGACAUGUUUGUCGCGACUUUAAGAGAUAGAGUCUGCGGUUCGGCCGGAAAAAACACACACACCACAUGGCUGUCGUCAGCUCGUGUCGUGAGAUGUUGGGUUAAGUCCCGCAACGAGCGCAACCCUCACUUUUAGUUACCAUCAUUUAGUUGGGUACUCUGAAAGAACUGCCAGUGAUAAGCUGGAGGAAGGUGGGGAUGACGUCAAGUCCUCAUGGCCCUUACGUGUUGGGCUACACACGUGCUACAAUGAUAUCUACAACAGGAAGCAAGAUGGCGACGUUAAGCAAAUCCUAAAAAGAUAUCUCAGUUCGGAUUGCACUCUGCAACUCGAGUGCAUGAAGCUGGAAUUACUAGUAAUCGUGGAUCAGCGUGCCACGGUGAAUACGUUCCCGGGUCUUGUACACACCGCCCGUCACACCAUGGGAGUUGGUUCUACCUUAAGGCAAAGAUUAAAACCUUUGACCACGGUAUAGUCAGCGACUGGGGUGAAGUCGUAACAAGGUAACC
rnacentral:rRNA from 1 species